rnacentral:rRNA from 1 species
UACGUAGGUGGCGAGCGUUGUCCGGAUUUACUGGGCGUAAAGGGCGUGCAGGCGGUUUGUUAAGUGCAGGUGAAAGCGUCCCGGCUCAACUGGGAGAGGUCCUUGCAUACUGGCGAACUCGAGGGAGGCAGAGGAAAGUGGAAUUCCGGUGUAGUGGUGAUAUGCGUAGAUAUCAGGAGGAACACCAAUUGCGAAGGCAGCUCGCUGGGACGUUACUGACGCUGAGACGCGAAGCGUGGGGAGCAAACAGG